CCUACGGGAGGCAGCAGUGAGGAAUAUUGGUCAAUGGACGAGAGUCUGAACCAGCCAAGUAGCGUGAAGGAUGACUGCCCUAUGUGUUGUAAACUUCUUUUAUAUGGGAAUAAAAUGUUCCACGUGUGGGAUUUUGUAUGUACCAUAUGAAUAAGGAUCGGCUAACUCCGUGCCAGCAGCCGCGGUAAUACGGAGGAUCCGAGCGUUAUCCGGAUUUAUUGGGUUUAAAGGGAGCGUAGGUGGAUUGUUAAGUCAGUUGUAAAAGUUUGCGGCUCAACCGUAAAAUUGCAGUUGAAACUGGCAGUCUAGAGUACAGUAGAGGUGAGCGGAAUUCGUGGUGUAGCGGUGAAAUGCUUAGAUAUCACGAAGAACUCCGAUUGCGAAGGCAGCUCACUGGACUGCAACUGACACUGAGGCUCGAAAGUGUGGGUAUCAAACAGGAUUAGAUACCCUAGUAGUC
rnacentral:rRNA from 1 species